rnacentral:piRNA from 1 species
UCCUCAAUUCUUUGGGGGUGCUGAUU